AAUACGACUCUCGGCAACGGAUAUCUCGGCUCUCGCAUCGAUGAAGAACGUAGCGAAAUGCGAUACUUGGUGUGAAUUGCAGAAUCCCGUGAACCAUCGAGUCUUUGAACGCAAGUUGCGCCCGAGGCCUUCCGGCCGAGGGCACAUCUGCUUGGGCGUUAA
rnacentral:rRNA from 2 species